rnacentral:rRNA from 1 species
GACGAACGCUGGCGGCAUGCUUAACACAUGCCAGUCGAACGGAAAGGCCCUGCUUUUGUGGGGUGCUCGAGUGGCGAACGGGUGAGUAACACGUGAGUAACCUGCCCUUGACUUUGGGAUAACUUCAGGAAACUGGGGCUAAUACCGGAUAGGAGCUCCUGCUGCAUGGUGGGGGUUGGAAAGUUUCGGCGGUUGGGGAUGGACUCGCGGCUUAUCAGCUUGUUGGUGGGGUAGUGGCUUACCAAGGCUUUGACGGGUAGCCGGCCUGAGAGGGUGACCGGCCACAUUGGGACUGAGAUACGGCCCAGACUCCUACGGGAGGCAGCAGUGGGGAAUAUUGCACAAUGGGCGGAAGCCUGAUGCAGCAACGCCGCGUGCGGGAUGACGGCCUUCGGGUUGUAAACCGCUUUCGCCUGUGACGAAGCGUGAGUGACGGUAAUGGGUAAAGAAGCACCGGCUAACUACGU